rnacentral:rRNA from 1 species
UUGUCACACUCCUACGGGGAGGCAGCAGUGGGGAAUAUUGCACAAUGGGGGAAACCCUGAUGCAGCCAUGCCGCGUGUGUGAAGAAGGCCUUCGGGUUGUAAAGCACUUUCAGUAGGGAGGAAGGUAGUGUAGUUAACACCUGCAUUAUUUGACGUUACCUACAGAAGAAGCACCGGCUAACUCCGUGCCAGCAGCCGCGGUAAUACGGAGGGUGCGAGCGUUAAUCGGAAUUACUGGGCGUAAAGCGCAUGCAGGCGGCCUGUUAAGUCAGAUGUGAAAGCCCGGGGCUUAACCUCGGAAUUGCAUUUGAAACUGGCAGGCUAGAGUCUUGUAGAGGGGGGUAGGAAUUUCAGGUGUAGCGGUGAAAUGCGUAGAGAUCUGAAGGAAUACCAGUGGCGAAGGCGGCCCCCUGGACAAAGACUGACGCUCAGAUGCGAAAGCGUGGGGAGCAAACAGGAUUAGAUACCCUGGUAG